AAAAUACUGAUGUUAUUAAAAGCAGCAUUUUGUUUUUUUUAAAGAUUUUAUUUUUUCCAUUUUUCUCCCCAAAGCCCCCCGGUACAUAGUUGUAUAUUCUUUGUUGUGGGUCCUUCUAGUUGUGGCAUGUGGGACGCCGCCUCAGCGUGGUCCGAUGAGCAGUGCCAUGUCCGCACCCAGGACUCGAACCAACGAAACACUGGGCCACCUGCAGCGGAGCGCGCGAACUUAACCACUCGGCCACGGGGCCAGCCCCUUAAAAGCAGCAUUUUGAUGUUACUUGAAACGAGUGCUAAAAUAUCAGUAUUGUCAUUUUGCUGUGAUACUGGCAAAAGUGCAUCUUGCCAGGAUGGAGCCACCAGAUUACCCUCAAUAAGAGAUGUGAUCUCAUAAUUGCAUGGAAUUAUGUCUGAGACAUCGGAUGUCCCGUGCCUGCGCUCUACCUGCUCCUCUGGAGAGAAGUUAGAAUUCUUCCUUCUUUCAGACAACUGGUUCUUCAAUGACGCUGACAAAGUGGAUGGUCGGGAACCACACACUCUGGAGCCGAUUCCAAGAUGGUGGACACGAGGACUGAUGGACUGGUGGAUACAGACGGGCAGGCAGAGAGAGGAGUCCGAGGUUGCUUAAUUGGGGGCACCCUGCACUGGAAACAUGAGUUCUGAUAGGAUGGUGCAGAGUACGGUACUUCAACGGUGCAUCCAAGAGAAAGGAACUGAAAACAAUAAACUAGGACCUCCAGGACAAUGUUGAACAGGAAAGGUGUCUAAAUCAACUUAGAUUAAGAAACCAAAAUCUCCACCAUGCUUUUUGAUCUUCGGCUGAAGUUCAAUGUGUCAAACAUACUCGCUACCUAUGGACCCUUUGCCCUUCUCCUCACCUCCAGGGAUGAUGUGGAGGAGAUCUCCGAGUCUCAGGGAGAAAUACAGAACCAGCUAAGGUUUGGGGAAUGGAUGCAUCUCUCUCUGAGUGCUGGG
rnacentral:lncRNA from 1 species